UUUAUGUUACAGGUUCAUGUACAAUUCAUUUGACAGUUGGGCUCCCUAUUUUGUUAUACUGCUGUCUGUGAUCUGUGUCCUUUUUACAUACAUUACUGUACUAAUGCUCUUGUCCCUGUGUCACAUUGUACAUGGUCACCAACUCUAUGUACAUCCCGUACAUGUAGUAUUCAUCAUCAUCUGUUUGGCCUGCUGUGUGGCUGGAACAAUCGGUUACUCUGAGCUUUGGGCCACUGAAUGGUUCCUGAUCUGGUUGUCUCUAAAGGUCAUUGGUCCGUUCCUCCAAAUCGGAUGUGUGAUCUUGAUGA